AAAAACCUGUUCGUGAUUGGUUUAGGAUCACUGUUGAGAAGGGAAGUCAGGGGGGGUACUUCCCUUGCUAGAUCGAGAGAUGCUUUUGUUCUAAUGCCUACUGUUGAGAAGACCACUAUUCCGCAACAUACCGAUUGGCCGCCAUCACCUGACAUGGCCUUCAUGGAGGAGCGUCCCUUUGUGAGGAAACGUAAGGAAAGUCAACCGACAGAGAACCCGAAGACCUCCAAGAAAACCAAAGACUCUGAGGAGCAGACUGACCGUCAAGUUGAUCGCCCCAUUCCCGGCGACAUGUGG
rnacentral:lncRNA from 1 species